rnacentral:rRNA from 1 species
CGCGUAGGUGGUCGUGUAAGUCGGAUGUGAAAGCCCAGGGCUUAACCUUGGAAUUGCAUCCGAUACUGCAUGACUAGAGUAUGGUAGAGGGAAGUGGAAUUUCCGGUGUAGCGGUGAAAUGCGUAGAUAUCGGAAGGAACACCAGUGGCGAAGGCGACUUCCUGGGCCAAUACUGACACUGAGGUGCGAAAGCGUGGGUAGCAAACA